UUAAUUUGAGAGUUUGAUCCUGGCUCAGGACGAACGCUGGCGGCGUGCCUAAUACAUGCAAGUCGAACGAACUCUGGUAUUGAUUGGUACUUGUAUCAUGAUUUACAUUUGAGUGAGUGGCGAACUGGUGAGUAACACGUGGGAAACUUGCCCAGAAGCGGGGGAUAACACCUGGAAACAGAUGCUAAUACCGCAUAACAACUUGGACCGCAUGGUCCGAGUUUGAAAGAUGGUUUCGGCUAUCACUUCUGGAUAGUCCCGCGGCGCAUUAGCUAGAUGGUGAGGUAACGGCUCACCAUGGCAAUGAUGCGUAGCCGACCUGAGAGGGUAAUCGGCCACAUUGGGACUGAGACACGGCCCAAACUCCUACGGGAGGCAGCAGUAGGGAAUCUUCCACAAUGGACGAAAGUCUGAUGGAGCAACGCCGCGUGAGUGAAGAAGGGUUUCGGCUCGUAAAACUCUGUUGUUAAAGAAGAACAUAUCUGAGAGUAACUGUUCAGGUAUUGACGGUAUUUAACCAGAAAGCCACGGCUAACUACGUGCCAGCAGCCGCGGUAAUACGUAGGUGGCAAGCGUUGUCCGGAUUUAUUGGGCGUAAAGCGAGCGCAGGCGGUUUUUUAAGUCUGAUGUGAAAGCCUUCGGCUCAACCGAAGAAGUGCAUCGGAAACUGGGAAACUUGAGUGCAGAAGAGGACAGUGGAACUCCAUGUGUAGCGGUGAAAUGCGUAGAUAUAUGGAAGAACACCAGUGGCGAAGGCGGCUGUCUGGUCUGUAACUGACGCUGAGGCUCGAAAGUAUGGGUAGCAAACAGGAUUAGAUACCCUGGUAGUCCAUACCGUAAACGAUGAAUGCUAAGUGUUGGAGGGUUUCCGCCCUUCAGUGCUGCAGCUAACGCAUUAAGCAUUCCGCCUGGGGAGUACGACCGCAAGGUUGAAACUCAAAGGAAUUGACGGGGGCCCGCACAAGCGGUGGAGCAUGUGGUUUAAUUCGAAGCUACGCGAAGAACCUUACCAGGUCUUGACAUACUAUGCAAAUCUAAGAGAUUAGACGUUCCCUUCGGGGACAUGGAUACAGGUGGUGCAUGGUUGUCGUCAGCUCGUGUCGUGAGAUGUUGGGUUAAGUCCCGCAACGAGCGCAACCCUUAUUAUCAGUUGCCAGCAUUAAGUUGGGCACUCUGGUGAGACUGCCGGUGACAAACCGGAGGAAGGUGGGGAUGACGUCAAAUCAUCAUGCCCCUUAUGACCUGGGCUACACACGUGCUACAAUGGAUGGUACAACGAGUUGCGAACUCGCGAGAGUAAGCUAAUCUCUUAAAGCCAUUCUCAGUUCGGAUUGUAGGCUGCAACUCGCCUACAUGAAGUCGGAAUCGCUAGUAAUCGCGGAUCAGCAUGCCGCGGUGAAUACGUUCCCGGGCCUUGUACACACCGCCCGUCACACCAUGAGAGUUUGUAACACCCAAAGUCGGUGGGGUAACCUUCGGGGACCAGCCGCCUAAGGUGGGACAGAUGAUUAGGGUGAAGUCGUAACAAGGUAGCCGUAGGAGAACCUGCGGCUGGAUCACCUCCUUUCUAAGGAAUAUUACGGAA
rnacentral:rRNA from 2 species